CUCAUAAGUAAUAAAUGAUCCGUUUAGGUCCUUUUAACUUUGUUUAAAGUAUCGGUUUGAUCCCUUCUGUUAAUUUAAUUAAAAAAAACAUUAAAUUUAGGGAUCAAACUAAUAUUAAUUAAAUAAGUUAAGGGACCAAACUUAUAAUAAUUAAAUAAGUUAAGGACCAAAAUUUAACAUUUUUUUGAAUUAAAUUAAGAAAAAGGUUCAAACCGAAACUUGAAAUCAAGUUAAGGGACCGAUUGAACAUUUAAGCCAUACGAUU
rfam:Medicago truncatula strain A17 unplaced genomic scaffold scaffold0130, whole genome shotgun sequence.